rnacentral:tRNA from 1 species
CGGCGGCCCGGUGCGGACCGCCGCCUCCGGUGGUUGCUGGCCGCUGCGCAGGAUGAGCGCGCCGGCCCUCGCCAGUUCGGCGACGGUGGUCGCUGUC